rnacentral:rRNA from 1 species
UUCUCACCUUCUGGAGAAUCACGAUGCUCUUAAUUGGGUGUCGUGUGGAUCCAGGACCUUUACCUUGAAAAAAUUAGAGUGUUUAAAGCAGGCAUUUUGCUCGAAUACAUUAGCAUGGAAUAAUAAAAUAGGACGGCUUGGUUCUAUUUUGUUGGUUUCUAGGAUCACCGUAAUGAUUAAUAGGGAUAGUUGGGA